UGGUUGGACUUGGACCUUUUUUUAGUAUUUCGUUCCACAUCUCUCUGGUACGACUAAUCCCUCCAUGAAUACUCACCGCCAGUGCUGUCGAUACAUUUGUUCCUCUCUUCUUGCUAAUUAUUUGAUGUUUGCUUCGAAUUUCCUUUCUGUUUGCAACCUUUAGUUCUCGUAUUUUGUUCCUCACUUCAAGAAAUGUAACAGUCGGAGGCGUAGCUCGGAACCAUAUAACCCUGGUGAGAUGGAGACAUGUUUCUCCGUUGGGUUCAUCGCCAUGGAUUCGGCUUAUUGAGAGGAGCUCUUCGGUCGUACCCUGGAAAGUUGAUCACAAAAAAAGAGAGAGGAGCUCUUCGGUUUUGACUGGAAGACGAAGUAGUUUAUAAAAUAAGGAGAUAGAGAGGGAGGUGAAACGAAAGACAUGAAGUGUGUAUUAAAGAGAACGAUUGAUUGAUGGCAGAGAAGGCUUAGUAAUGGAGAUCGCAAGUAGAGAAAACGGAGAAGACGAAGAGGAUGGAGAGAUUCGUUGGACGGCUAUCGGAUGUUAGGGGUUUCUGUUUAGUG
rnacentral:lncRNA from 1 species